rnacentral:tRNA from 1 species
AAUUAUGUAAAUGAUUGUUUGGCAAAUUUGAAGUUUUGUAUGGCGAUUGUGAAAAUUUCAUGCGUGGGUUCAAAUCCCACCGAGGUUA